rnacentral:rRNA from 1 species
AGCGAACGCUGGCGGCAGGCCUAACACAUGCAAGUCGAACGGAUCCUUCGGGAUUAGUGGCGGACGGGUGAGUAACACGUGGGAACGCGCCCUUUGGUUCGGAACAACUCAGGGAAACUUGAGCUAAUACCGGAUGUGCCCUUCGGGGGAAAGAUUUAUCGCCAUUGGAGCGGCCCGCGUGGGAUUAGCUAGUUGGUGGGGUAAAGGCCCACCAAGGCGACGAUCCGUAGCUGGUCUGAGAGGGUGAUCAGCCACAUUGGGACUGAGACACGGCCCAAACUCCUACGGGAGGCAGCAGUGGGGAAUCUUGCGCAAUGGGCGAAAGCCUGACGCAGCCAUGCCGCGUGAAUGAUGAAGGUCUUAGGAUUGUAAAAUUCUUUCACCGGGGACGAUAAUGACGGUACCCGGAGAAGAAGCCCCGGCUAACUUCGUGCCAGCCGCCGCAGUAA